CUCAGUCAUUCCCUAUCUCAGCCGGCCUCCAACACACCCUCACGUCCGAUUGCAGCAGCCGCGCGGGUGGUUAGCUGUAGGAGGCGGAGAGGUUGACCGGGGAGAAGCUGGGCGGCGACCUGUACAGCGGCCCACUUGCCGGCGCUGACAACCAAAGCCGCUGCCACGCCAUGUUGCCCUGCUUGCUCGGGCUUUUCGGCAUCCAGAGCGCAAGCCUCAGCGCCUAUGUUCAUCGAUGUGCUUCAGCCGUUGGAAGAAUCUUACAUUCUGCUGAAGUAAUUAGCUUCUCUGCACCGAUGAAAAGGAGCUUGCGGUGUUGUUGCUGGCUGAUCCAGCAUGUUUUGGCCAUUGCAUGCAGCUUCAGCUGGAGCUAGUUGUCUAUCAUGUGGUCAAAGAAAGAGAGAAUGCAGGCUGAUGAGACUCUUCAGGAAAUUGUUCAGCUGGAGGUGUGUUGGAUGUGGUGAAAGAAAGAGAGAAUGUUUGGCUGAUAAGAAGUGCAUCAUGUUAGCGCCUUUCAUUGGCUUACCACUUGAAUCAGGAAAUCAUUGGUCAUGUGGUGUCUCUGGAAACAGCAAAUGAGAAGGGCUUUUUGGCAUGUACCUACCUUAGGUGGUUCCCCCGAGCAAUGCACCACCACCGGUUUCUACACGUGCUAGCAGGAAUGAAGACUCGUUGAGGAAGCACAUAAAGUUUUUGGAGCAACAAGGAGCAGCAGGUCUUAUCUUCCAAAACAGCAGUCUUGGCUAGGUUGACUGCUAGUGUGGUUGCGUUGAACACUCAGAAAGCAUGCAUGUUCCUUUGGCAUGGCCAUGAUGGCCAGUCAGUUUUACAAGAAUGCAUCUGCAUCCGACUAUGGAUUUUGUGAAUGGGGUUGCCGAUGCAGUAUAGCCAACGGAGUUGACCCUGAGAAGGGCACCGCGAGCUCAGAGAUCCCUGAGGAGAUGAAUCGGCUGUGGUAGCCCCUCGCCAACAUGCUGCCCAACUGCCGGGGACAAGCUGAAGAAGCACCUGUAUGAGAAGCUAACGGUGAUCGGAUCAGCGGUGUCAGUGUCGUCAAGGGGUGUGAGUUAGUAGGUGUCCUGCCAGGACAACCUCUUAGUGUUAAAGAUGGUGAAGUGGCGUGUACCAACUGACUAGGAA